AAAUAGAGUUUAAUAUACAUUAAUACAAAUGUACAAUGUGUUUAAAAUUUUAAAAACUACACCAAAAAUCAUAGGCUUCAAUAUAUAGAGCAUUUACCGAAAAAUUAAAUAUUUUUGUAGGGGUUAACCCAUAGAUUUUGAGAAAAAAUAAAGAAAAAUGAAAAUUAUAUUUUAAUGCAUAGUUGCAUCCUUCACUAACAUAUGAUGAAAGUCAAAUAGGUUUGGAACAUUUGUGGUCUCCGCUUUUCUAGUGAAUAGCGGUUUUAUAGUGGUAGUCAAUCAAUUUAGGGAGUAUUAUGAACGUUUACUAAAUUAAUUGACAAAAAAUUUAAACGAUUCCCAUGUACCAUGAAAGAAAGUUUAAUAUACAUUAAUAGAAAUGUAGAAUGUGUUUAGAAAUUUUAAAACAACAGUAAAGAUCUUAGGCUUAAAUAUAUAGAGCAUUUAACGAAAAAUUAAAUAUUUUCGUAGGGGUUAACCCAUAGAUUUUGAGAAAAAUUAAAAAAAAAACGAAAAUUAUAUUUUAAUGCAUAGUUGCAUCAUUCACUGACAUAUGAUGAAGGUCAAAGAGGUUGGAACCUUUGUGGUCUCCGGGUUUCUAUAAAUAGCGAUUUUAUAGUGGUUAGUCAACCAAUUUAGGGGGUGUUAUGAAGUUUUACUAAAUUAAUUGACAAAAAAAUUAAACGAUGCCCAUGUAACAUGAAAGAGAGUUUCAUAUACAUUAACACAAAUGUAGAAUGUGUUUAGAAAUUUUAAAACAACACUAAAUGUUAUAGGCUUCAGUAUAUAGAGCAUUUACCGAAAAAUUAAAUAUUUUUGUAGGGGUUAACCAAUAGAUUUUGAGAAAAAAUCAAAAAAAAAAAAAAUUAUAUUUUAAUGCAUAGUUGCAUCCUUCACUGACAUAUGAUGAAGGUCAAAGAGGUUUGGAACCUUUGCGGUCUCUGCUAUUCUAGAGAAUAGCGGUUUUAUAUUGGUUAGUCAACCAAUUUAGGGAGUAUUAUGAAGUUUUAUAGAUUAAUUAACAAAAAAAUUAAAAGAUGCUCAUGUACCAUGAAAGAAAGUUUAAUAUACAUUAAUACAAAUGUAGAAUGUGUUUAGAAAUUUUAAAACAACAGUAAAGAUCAUAGGCUUCAGUAUAUAGAGCAUUUACC